rnacentral:rRNA from 1 species
AACGUAGGAGACAAACGUUAUCCGGAGUUACUGGGCGUAAAGGGCGUGUAGGCGGUUCGUUAAGUCUGGCGUGAAAGCUCUCGGCUAAACCGGGAGAGGUCGUUGGAUACUGGCAAACUAGAGGACGGUAGAGGCGUGUGGAAUUCCGGGUGUAGUGGUGAAAUGCGCAGAUAUCAGGAGGAACACCCGUAGCGAAGGCGGCACUCUGGGCCGAUUCUGACACUGAGGAGCGAAAGCGUGGGGAGCGAACAGG